CCAAUAGCGUAUAUUAAAGUUGUUGCAGUUAAAAAGCUCGUAGUUGAACUUCGGGGUUUACUUAUUGGUCAGGCUUAAUUGUCUGUACUGGUGAGAUGAAUCUCUACCUUCUGAGGAACUUUCAUGCCAUUUGUUUGGUGUGAUUGGAAAUCAGGACUGUUACUUUGAAAAAAUUAGAGUGUUUAAAGCAGGCUAACGUCUGAAUACAUUAGCAUGGAAUAAUGAAAUAGGACGGAUUGAUUCUAUUUCGUUGGUUUCUAGGGUCACCGUAAUGAUUAAUAGGGAUAGUUGGGGGCAUUAGUAUUCAAUUGUCAGAGGUGAAAUUCUUGGAUUUAUUGAAGACUAACUACUGCGAAAGCAUUUGCCAAGGAUGUUUUCAUUAAUCAAGAACGAAAGUUAGGGGAUCGAAGACGAUCAGAUACCGUCGUAGUCUUAACCAUAAACUAUGCCGACUAGGGAUCGGACGCAGUUAAUUUUAUAAUGACGUGUUCGGCACCUUACG
rnacentral:rRNA from 1 species